rnacentral:rRNA from 1 species
GAUGAACGCUGGCGGCGUGCUUAACACAUGCAAGUCGAACGGAAGGGCCGAAGCUUGCUUCGGUACUCGAGUGGCGAACGGGUGAGUAACACGUGGGUGAUCUGCCCUUUACUUCGGGAUAAGCUUGGGAAACUUGGUCUAAUACCGGAUAUGACUAUCUCUUGGAUGGGGUUGUGGAAAUCUUUUUCGGUAUGGGAUAAGCUCGCGGCCUAUCAGCUUGUUUGUGGGGUAAUGUCCUACCAAGUCGUCGACGGGUAGCCGGCCUGAGAGGGUGUACGGCCACAGUGGGAAGGAGAGACGGCACAGACUACGAAGGGAGGCAGAAGUGGGGAAUAUUGGACAAUGGGAGAAAGCCUGAUGGAGAGAAGCCGCGUGGGGGAUGACGGCCUUCGGGUUGUAAAAACCUUUGGCAAUCGACGAAGACUUUUGGUGACGGUAGGUUGAGAAGAAGCACCGGCUAACUACGUG